AACGAACGCUGGCGGCGUGCUUAACACAUGCAAGUCGAACGGUAAGGCCCUUCGGGGUACACGAGUGGCGAACGGGUGAGUAACACGUGGGUGAUCUGCCCUGCACUUCGGGAUAAGCCUGGGAAACUGGGUCUAAUACCGGAUAGGACCACUGCCUGCAUGGGUGGUGGUGGAAAGCUUUGGCGGUGUGGGAUGGGCCCGCGGCCUAUCAGCUUGUUGGUGGGGUGAUGGCCUACCAAGGCGACGACGGGUAACCGGCCUGAGAGGGUGACCGGCCACACUGGGACUGAGAUACGGCCCAGACUCCUACGGGAGGCAGCAGUGGGGAAUAUUGCACAAUGGGCGCAAGCCUGAUGCAGCGACGCCGCGUGAGGGAUGACGGCCUUCGGGUUGUAAACCUCUUUCAGCACCGACGAAGCGCAAGUGACGGUAGGUGCAGAAGAAGGACCGGCCAACUACGUGCCAGCCGCCGCAGUAACAC
rnacentral:rRNA from 1 species